GCGGGUGUAGUUCAAUGGUAGAACUCGACCUUCCCAAGGUCGUAGCGCGGGUUCGAUUCCCGUCACCCGCUCCG
rnacentral:tRNA from 2 species